rnacentral:rRNA from 1 species
UUGGACGGUCAUAGGGGCUUGGUUCACCCGUUCCCAUCCCGAAAGGAUGUGCACCAAGCACUUUCCGGGUUCACGGAAGUUAAGCAAGCCUCCGUUUCCAGCAGUACUUCACUUAUGUGUGGGAAACUGGAAAAGCUGUCCACC